UAUUGUGAUUGAAUUAGAAUUUUUAACUUUAAAGUACAAGACUAAAUCUCGAAUUAUGGAUAAUUACAGGGACUAAAAGCACAUAUAAACCUUUUUUUAUUGGGUUCGAAAUUGUAUUAGAAACCUUUGUCUCUCUCAAUGAUAAAAGAAAAAAAAAAGAGAAAGGGUUCAAGCUUUUCCAGUUUAGCUUGAAUUAACCAAAACUCCCAAAUCUUGGAAAUUGGGAAAAGAUGGCAGCACCAACGCUGGAGAUGGAGCCAGUUGAGCCACAAUCAUUGAAGAAGCUAAGCCUUAAAUCCCUAAAGCGCACUCUCGAUCUCUUUAGCCCUAUCCAUGGCCAAUUUGCUGCUCCUAACCCCGAAAGCAAAAAAAUUCGCAUGAGCCACAAGGUUAGUUCGAUUUGGUUUGGUUUCCUAAUCCUAUCUAUGGUAAGUUAUAAGCUUUACAAUUAAUGCUCUAUUAGUUUACUGAGGAAGAUUAGGCAAGUUUAUCAGUGAGAAGUCUUAAGAUUUGACAUAGCCAUUCAAGAACUAGUCAACCAGAGAUUCAAUAAAGACCCAUUCUGCCAUUCAAGAAAUUGGAAAAAAAACGAAAGAGAAAUUAGAAGAAAGCAAAACUGGCCCUGGGUCUGGGUAUUGGUGUGGUGGUCCGACUCCGGCGGAAGAGAAAUGGACAGCAAAAGCCAAAAAGGUGUGAAAAUGGUGGGUUUUCCAGUUUCCCGAUUGGCCGAUUCGACUGAGAUUGAGAAUAUUAGGGAUUUAGGGCUAGGGGUGUUAAGUGAAAAUGUGAAAGUCGGCACUUUCAGCCAAUAACCAAUUAACCAUAAACAUAAAUUGGGCUUGGGUAUUUAGGGCUAGAGGUUAUUUGCUGCUGCUGAGAAUAGAGAAAAAUUCGGUGCUGAGCCUGAGAAUAAAUUCGGCCGGUUUAAUUUGACCUGGUUGAGGCCCUACCCUGCAAAA